AUUGAACGCUGGCGGCAGGCUUAACACAUGCAAGUCGAGCGGAGAGAGGUAGCUUGCUACUGCUCUUAGCGGCGAACGGGUGAGUAAUGCUUAGGAAUCUGCCUAUUAGUGGGGGACAACAUUUCGAAAGGAAUGCUAAUACCGCAUACGUCCUACGGGAGAAAGCAGGGGAUCUUCGGACAUCGCGCGAAUAGAUGAGCCGAAGUCGGAGUAGCUAGUUGGUGGGGUAAAAGCCUACCAAGGCGACGAUCUGUAGCGGGUCUGAGAGGAUGAUCCGCCACACUGGGACUGAGACACGGCCCAGACUCCUACGGGAGGCAGCAGUGGGGAAUAUUGGACAAUGGGCGCAAGCCUGAUCCAGCCAUGCCGCGUGUGUGAAGAAGGCCUUAUGGUUGUAAAGCACUUUAAGCGAGGAGGAGGCUACUUUAGUUAAUACCUAGAGAUAGUGGACGUUACUCGCAGAAUAAGCACCGGCUAACUCUGUGCCAGCCGCCGCCGUAAAAC
rnacentral:rRNA from 1 species